rnacentral:rRNA from 1 species
AUUGAACGCUGGCGGCAGGCCUAACACAUGCAAGUCGAGCGCGAAAGGCCUUCGGGCUGAGUAGAGCGGCGGACGGGUGAGUAACGCGUAGGAAUCUACCUGGUAGUGGGGGACAACUUGGGGAAACUCAAGCUAAUACCGCAUACGCCCUAUGGGGGAAAGUGGGGGACCUUCGGGCCUCACGCUAUCAGAUGAGCCUGCGUAGGAUUAGCUAGUUGGUGAGGUAAAGGCUCACCAAGGCGACGAUCCUUAGCUGGUCUGAGAGGAUGAUCAGCCACACUGGGACUGAGACACGGCCCAGACUCCUACGGGAGGCAGCAGUGGGGAAUAUUGCGCAAUGGGGGGCAACCCUGACGCAGCCAUGCCGCGUGUGUGAAGAAGGCCUCGGUUG